GACGAACGCUGGCGGCGUGCCUAAUACAUGCAAGUCGAGCGCAGGAAACUGACGGAACUCUUCGGAGGGAAGGCAGCGGAAUGAGCGGCGGACGGGUGAGUAACACGUAAGGAACCUGCCUCAAGGAUUGGGAUAACUCCGAGAAAUCGGAGCUAAUACCGGAUAGUUCAACGGACCGCAUGGUCCGCUGAUGAAAGGCGCUUCGGCGUCACCUUGAGAUGGCCUUGCGGUGCAUUAGCUAGUUGGUGGGGUAACGGCCCACCAAGGCGACGAUGCAUAGGCGACCUGAGAGGGUGAUCGGCCACACUGGGACUGAGACACGGCCCAGACUCCUACGGGAGGCAGCAGUAGGGAAUCUUCCACAAUGGACGAAAGUCUGAUGGAGCAACGCCGCGUGAGUGAUGAAGGUUUUCGGAUCGUAAAACUCUGUUGUAAGGGAAGAACACGUACGAGAGGAAAUGCUCGUACCUUGACGGUACCAUACGAGAAAGCCACGGCUAACUACGUGCCAGCCGCCGCGGUAAUAC
rnacentral:rRNA from 1 species